AUCCAGCUGAAGUGUCCUAAAUAGGACGAAACGUGCGUCUUGGAU
rnacentral:hammerhead_ribozyme from 1 species